AUAAUUGGAUCUCUUAGCCAGCUACAUUUUCUAUAAGGUAUCAAUUUAUUGUAUUUACAACUUUUCACUAGCUAUAUGUGUGCAUGCAUGUAACCCUGUACGUCUUAUUUCUAUUGUUUAUAUGGUAUUCAUAAUGAUAUAAUAAGGAAUGAGGAUUUAUAUAGCCUAUCCUGACUUGCUUGGGACUGACGCUUAAUUAUUUUUUGUUUUUGUAUAAUAAUUCUUGUAUCCUUUUGCAUAGUCAAAUUGUAAAGGUCUUAGAGCUGCAGGUCUCUGGAUAUGCUAUACUAGAUAAAGAUCUUUUUUUGUUUCUUCUCCAAGCAUAUUCUUGUGUCUAAUAGGCUCAGCUUGUUGGUUUUUGUGCCAUAUAUGUUCUGAGUUGGCAACUUUUAGUAAAGUUAUGGUGAAUCAAACAAACAUGAUUAUGGAGAUUUUAUUAACAUUGUUUUCAAACAAUCAUGACUAUUCUUAAAUUUGGUUGUUCUUUCUUUUUUAGGUGGUUAGUAAAGAAAAUCAAUGGCCUCAAAAAGUAAUGUUAAUGGACGACGUAAGAAAAGUAAGAGAGGACCUGAUAAUCUUCCUGCAGGUAUCCACACCACUACUACCACCUGUUAUCACAAAUCUUCAACCAUCCGCUACAAAUAUUUCUCCCCCUCUUAGAUAAAAUAUUUCACUACCAAAUGAAUUUUUCAUGUCUCCACCGUCUGACCAGUUAUAAACCUCUUCAUCACAAAAUAGUCUACAUUAAUUUGUUCCUUUGACAUCAUCUAUACCAAGCCUUUCUGGAUUGAGAAUUGGAGGUCCUAACACACCAACAUCGCUAUCAAUUGAUAGUGUUGUAGCAUCUAAUGCUAUAGUAGUUGCUUCUUAGAAUCUUCAAUUUAAUGACUUAUUAGAAUAUAACAAGUUUGGGAGGCUACGAAUCAUCCUUUAUUAUGAUGGGUAAGUAAACCUUAAGUUUUUCCUUAAUUUUUAAAAGCUAAGAUGAUGGUUUAAUAUAAUUUUAUUGUAGUUUCAUUCCAGCAUAUGCCACUGGGCAUAUGGUUAUAGAAGCAAUUAAACUAUUUUUCAAAGAGCCAUGGAAUAAUAAGUUAGAGAUUCCAUACAAAAUUAGAAUUGUUAUGUGGAAACAAUUUAUGGCAUAAGCUGUUUUAUAAUCUAUGAAUCCCAUUUCCUAAGGAUGGUUUUUCCAUUGUAUCCAUCAACUCAUUUUAUGACUUUCUAUUAAUCCAUUUUGUAGAGAAAGUUUCAUGGAGUGAUUUUUAUGGUAAUAAAGUAUACCUUAUUAGUUGGUUGAAAGAAGCUCUACGAAUUAAAGAACACUUGUAUGAGGCCCGGAGUAAAUUGGUACAACCUAGUUGGGUGAAUGGUGAAGUGUAGUCUAAGUUCUUAAUAUUAUGGGACACUCUUAAAUAUAAGGUGAAGAGAGAAUGGUGAAAUACAAAUCGAGCCUCUGAAAUAGGUGGCUCACUGUACAUCACAGGUUCAAUAAGUUUUGAUACCCACCAAUGAACAUUGGUACUAUUCUUGUCCAACCCUUUUAUCCAUUUACACAUACAAACACCCAAAAUAUAGUGUUGACACAAUGUCAUUUUAUUGUUUACUAGUUUGAGUAGCUUUAGAUAUUAACCUUUAACUUGUCAGAAAUUGGGUAAGUUAUUGAUUUGAAUUAAGAGCUUUAGAGCUUAAUUUUUGGUCUUAGAUAAUCAGUCCUCCUUAUUUUUCAGUUUGUCUAUGAUGAACUAUGUGUUUUGCAAAUUUUUAAUUUAGAUGUAACCAUAUUUGAAUGUGUUACCUUUAGAUGUAAGAAUUUCUUUGAGAAUAACCUACAAUAGUUUAACCAUAUUUUUGGAUUAUACUUUUAAUCAAUAUUUGUCCUCGAAUAAAUACAUAGGGCAGAUUUGAGCUACGUGUCCUAAGCGAGUGAUUGGCCUUUUCAGCUCACCAGAUGUUGUUAAAAAAAUCACAAUAUAUUGUUUUUUCUACUUGUUUAGCAUUUAUUUUUGCAAGUAUUAUGUCAAGAGUCCUCUUCGGCUAUCUACAGUUUCCUACAUUCCCUUUAUUUCAUUUUUAUGUUUCAUUCUGGCUUGAUAAAGUAUUCUAGUACUUUUAUUCUAAGUGAUAAAAUAUUUUUGCAUAGCUAAAUUUCGACUGAAUGACUUAAUAGACUGCUAAAUCUAGUACUGACCUCCGUCAGUAAUCUAAGGAGCUGCCAGAAUAGGUUGACUCGAAUGACUUUAAGGCUGCAAGGAUGAACGCUGAGGAUAUCUACUAUGAGAAGACAUAUGAAUGAAAAAGCCUCAACUUCUCUAACAAAGUAGUGAACUAUCUCAUACUCUGAAAUUGUCGUGGAGCCCUUCUCCAAUUUAGGGAAUAAUCUCUCAAUCGAUAUCUAAGGAUGUGAUGAGUAGUGACUUUACCACUCACUCACACUCAUUUUUUGUGCACAUUACUUUGUUUCGAAUGAAUAAAUGAGACAAACUUAUGGUUAGAUGCACUAAUACCCACUCUUGCAGGCUCAAAGUUAAGGAAAGCAUAAGACAUGGAUUAGAGCUGAAAAUGUCAAAAGGGAGCAAAGAAGAGUGUAGCUGAAGUCUUGGAGUACAUCAGGCUCAGUUAUCGCGACCGCAGUCCUCAACCCACAGUCGCAAUCAGUCAAGAUAGUCAGCACAAUGCAGUCGCAUCUCAAACUUGCGGUUGCACUACCAUGGCCGCAGGACUCUUGCGCGAUCAUGACCUAGCAGAAUUAUGACCAGGGGUAGAUCUAUAAAAUUACUUAGACACAUCCCAAGCCAUAUUUAAGUAAAAC
rnacentral:lncRNA from 1 species